UAACUCUGGAACCAAAAUGUCGACGUA
rnacentral:piRNA from 1 species